CGUGUAGGCGGCCUUCUAAGUCGGGUGUGAAAUCCCUCGGCUCAACCGAGGAAUUGCAUUCGAUACUGGGAGGCUAGAGUGCGGUAGGGGCAAGUGGAACUCCAGGUGUAGCGGUGAAGUGCGUAGAUAUCUGGAGGAACGCCGGUGGCGAAAGCGACUUGCUGGCCCGCAACUGACGCUGAGGCGCGAAAGCUAGGGGAGCGAACG
rnacentral:rRNA from 1 species